rnacentral:ncRNA from 1 species
UCUCGAUAAAGGCAAACCUGAUGAAAGUCAGGGACGCAAAGCUAGAGGGGCUUCCGGACAAGGGAAAUCGUCCGAUGCCAGCCAGUUACCGAA